UGCUUGGGAAUUUGCCUUUGCGAGGGGGAUAACAGUUGGAAACGACUGCUAAUACCGCAUAAUGUCUACGGACCAAAGGGGGCUUCGGCUCUCACGUGAAGAGAAGCCCAAGUGAGAUUAGCUAGUUGGUGAGGUAAAGGCUCACCAAGGCGACGAUCUCUAGCUGUUCUGAGAGGAAGAUCAGCCACACUGGGACUGAGACACGGCCCAGACUCCUACGGGAGGCAGCAGUGGGGAAUAUUGCACAAUGGGGGAAACCCUGAUGCAGCCAUGCCGCGUGUGUGAAGAAGGCCUCGGUUG
rnacentral:rRNA from 1 species